ACCAGCAGCGAUAGCACGUUGAAUGUACCAGUUCCCCCACGGAUCACUGAAGUUAAGCAACGUUGCGCGUGGUUAGUACCUGGAUGGUGACCAUCUUUGGAAUUGUGUACUGCUGGGU
rnacentral:rRNA from 1 species